AUAAAUAUACACUGUACAAUUAUAUUUUAAAGGGUUAAUUACAAAUUUAUUGACGGGCCAAGUCGUUCCUUGUGAGGAAUAGUUCCUUCAUUAAAUUGAACUGGUUCUAACGAACUGAAUAAUUCAAUGCUUUUAGGAUAAGCAAAAAUAUUAAAGUGUGUUUUAUCUUGCUUUAUUUUGAAAAAAUAUAAUAAAAUAAAAAAAAUAUGAAGAAGUAUUAGUUCAAUAAAAAAAAUGAACGGAUCUUUUUCGGGAAUAGCACGACUAUUCCCUAGUUCUAGUUCGCUCAACUAAACAUCUCUAGUUUGACUUGUUUUUUACCUUCGUGUUUACGAAAACGGAUGUUUUCUAUCCAAUUAUAAGCUUUUCUUAUCAGCUUUUGAACUGAUUAAAAAUAUUUAAACAUUUUAAAGAAAAAUCGCAAAUCUCUAAAUUUAAACUCUCGGGUGGGGGCUGUCUUAUCACACGUCAGCCAAGGAUAAACCAUAAGGAGUCAGAGCCAAAAUGGAUUGGAAGAUGGUAAUGAAUAUGAUGCAUAUGGUGCAACAGUAUGACUCACCGAGUUUACAACAGAAAGCACUCGACAUGAUUCCAAAAGGGGACAUCUCUCGUAAAGCCUCAAGGAAAAUGCGGCAGUUGCAGAAUGCCAUGAUCAAGGGAAAAGUCCAACUUGAUGAAAGUGUAGAAUACGAGAAGCUAUUUUUAGAAGAACUCGCAAAAUGGUUUAAAAAUGAUUUUUUUAAAUGGUUCAAUGAACCCAAAUGUGAAACCUGCAGCCUCAAGACGGUAUUUAAACAGAAAAUGUUAACAUAUUUUCAUGAACAAGGAGAUGUGACUGUAGAGAUUUACAAAUGUCCAACAUGUAGUCGGACCUAUCUUUUCCCACGAUAUAGUGAUGCAGAUAUUCUUCUCACCCAAAGGACUGGGCGAUGUUCCGAGUGGGCUCAGUGUUUCACAUUAAUGUGCAAAGCUUUGGGAUGGGACUCAAGAUUUGUCUAUGAUGUGACUGAUCAUGUGUGGACAGAGAUUUACUCUACAUUGCAACAAAGGUGGAUUCAUGUCGAUUCAUGUGAAGCAGUUGUUGACCAACCGUUACUAUACGAACUCGGAUGGAAGAAAAAGCUUAGUUAUGUAAUCGCCAUGGAUCCCAUGGGAAUACAAGAUGUGUCUUGGCGUUACUCAUGCAACCAUAAAGCUUUGAGGGAAAGACGUUCUUUACAUUUCGAAAGCCAGCUAUUAGAUAAAAUACUACAUAUCCGACAAAAACUCCAAAACAAUCUGUCGCCUUCCAGACUUAAAUUCUAUCAAACUCGCCUCGCAAGAGAAAUCGGUGAAUUGAUGUGCGAACCCCAAUCAUCUAAUGGUACCUAUUCUGGGCGGACGUCCGGUUCGGAAGAGUGGAGAAAGGCUAGGGGUGAAUUAGGAUGUAUAAAUUCUGGUUAUUGUUGGAGCCCUACACCUCUCGAGGUUGACCGAAAGAUCAUGGAAAUAAAAUAUAACUGCUCAAUGGAUGUUUAUAAAAGAUCCGUUACUGACGAAAGUUUUAAUGGUUGGGAGAAUUUUGUAUUCUCAUAUGGCAAUAUUUUUCGCAAAGUGGAAUCUGAUUGGAUGAAAAGCUAUUUAGCCAGAGAAGAAAAUUCUGAUAAAGGGAAAAUUUCUUGGAAGAUAGACGUAUCAGGAUCUGGAUUGUUUAUUGAUAAAGUUGUUAUUAAAUGCUCUUAUCUUGCCUUGGAAGAUGCUGAGGUGGUUUGGUCUGUGUCAUCAGGUGGCUUUGAAAAAGAAAUUGAUAAAAUAAGCAAUGAUUCACAUAAACCUGAUCCACACCUUUCUGGUUCUCAGUCAGCUGUAGCUCAUCCUAAUUUCAUAAAUGAAAGGCAGCAACUGGCAGCAUGCCCAAAUAUUCCGACAAGACCUUGAAGAUAAAUCCUUGGAUUUAGGAUUUACAAUUCAUCUCAAGUAAUAUGUUCAAUGAAAAACACAUAAUCUCACAAGAAAUUAAACAUAAUCAUUGAUUAGAAGGGAUAUCCAGACUUAAUCCGUAAGAAAUACAGAGAGACUAAAGAAUUGUGAGAUUUUUGUUUAAGCCUGUUGACAUUGAGACAUAUACAGUGGCAUGACCCUUGACAUUUAACAAAAUUAUAAAAAAAAAGACAUGAUGAUGGAGAGACUAGGAUGGUCAGAUACUGCCUGUCCAUAAUGUUUUGUCCUGGAUAAAUGAUUUCUGCCACUGUUUUCCAAAAUUAGUUACCUAAAGUAUGUUUUACAUUAUCAUUUUUUAUUACAAUAUAUGGUAUUCAGUGUACAACAAAUAUAUUCGUUUUUAUCUUGUCUUAAUGUAUUUAUUACAUUUAACAAAAUUGGGUCCAAUAUUUGGAGGAAAUGAUGAGAGCAAUGGAAACAUUCUCAAGUGGCUGUGCUGCAGUGAUCAUCGUGAAAAUCAAAUGAUAUGAAAUUUCCAAUUUUCAAACAAUUAUUUAUUCUUGUGUGACCUUGUUAUUCUUUAUAAUUUUUUUUUAAAUUAAUCAUCAGUGAUAUUUCUAUGGCAUAAAACUUAUAAAUUACAUAUGUCAGUUUGAUUAUUUUAGAAUUUUUGUUACAAAUUAUACACUGUCUAUGUCAUUAAUAACUAGUUGAGUUUUUUCUACAUACAGUGCUCUCUCCCUAAUUUGAACUUUGGUACUUUGAACAUUCCAAUAAAUUAUAAAAAUUCAAGUAUGAGAAUUUUACAUAAAUAAAAAAAUUCAAAGUAUGAGAAUUUUAAAAGAACAUAUGAAACAUUAUUUGUGGGGAGAGGAAAGAAGAGUGAGAAAAUCACUAAAUGUGAGAAUCACAGCGAAAUGGCUGUCUCAGUUAAUCAUUUCCAUGAGGCGAAACAUUUUGCAGCAUAUAAUCUAAACAAGGUGAGCCAUCAGUUUGUGCAAAACAAGCUUGCUGUUCAUAUCUACACCAAUUGAAAAACACUUGUGUCAAGGUAUCCACAAACAUCAGUGUUAGUGAUCAUGGAGAUACUUUUUGUUUGAGACAAAAAGUAAAACAAAUGAAGAAAACACAUUUCCUUCCAUGUAUGUCCUCUCUAUUGUUCUUAUUAUAAUGACUUACCUUUAGCAUUCCACAAAAAUCAAUAGCUGUGAUUCAGUUGGAUUCAGUUCAGUUGGAUGUAUGCCUUGUCCAUUCUAAAGCUCGAGACAUUUCGAGUUUUAUGUUUACACAGAGAGAAACAGACUACACAAAGCAUUAUUAAAUAAAUUUAAAAAAAGAUUGAUUUUUUUAAGAGAAAUCUAAUUUAAUAUUUUGUGUAUGCAAUAAUGAUAAAGUGUUGUGUUGUAAUUGUUUCUUCGUACAUUUGUAUGUAUUUUUUUAACACCCUUUAUAAUCUGAAUACCCCUCCCCCUGCAAUUAGUUCAUAUUACUGAGAGAGCAAGACCACUGUAGUUUCAUUUAAAGCAAAGUUUUUUAAUGAAAAAAAAUGCCAUUUUAUAUUGUUGUGAUCUGCUACUAAGCAGUUUUAUUAAUAAUAAUUUGUUAUAUAUAUGAAUGUAUAUGUGAUUAAUUAUGCUCAGUUAAAUAAUUAAGAAAAAAGUGUAGUCAAUAAAUAAUAUUAACGAGCCA
rnacentral:misc_RNA from 1 species